GAUGAACGCUGGCGGCGUGCCUAACACAUGCAAGUCGAGCGAGAAAUUCAGGAGUAAAGCUUCGGUUGAGCGAAUGAAUGGAAAGCGGCGGACGGGUGAGUAACGCGUAGGCAACCUGCCCCUGACAGAGGGAUAGCCUCGGGAAACUGGGAUUAAAACCUCAUAAAGCGAGAGGUUCACAUGAACUUUUCGCCAAAGAUUUAUCGGUCAGGGAUGGGCCUGCGUCUGAUUAGCUAGUUGGUGGGGUAACGGCUCACCAAGGCAACGAUCAGUAGCCGACCUGAGAGGGUAAUCGGCAACAUUGGAACUGAGACACGGUCCAAACUCCUACGGGAAGCGGCAGUGAGGAAUAUUGGUCAAUGGACGAGAGUCUGAACCAGCCAAGUCGCGUGAAGGAUGACUGCCCUAUGGGUUGUAAACUUCUUUUAUGUGGGAAUAAAAAAGGGAACGUGUUCCCUAUUGCAUGUACCACUAUGAAUAAGCAUCGGCUAACUCCGUGCCAGCCGCCGCAGUAAAAC
rnacentral:rRNA from 1 species